UGGAUUCGCUGUUCUAGGAAUUUCGGAAGUGGCCGAACUGCAGAGCCGAGUUGCAUAUCAACAGCAGAUACUCGAUGGCGGAUGUUGGCAGAGAUUUAAUGACGCGAUUGUCGAUACUGUCGAUACCGAGUGCCUUUUUCGUCUUGAGCUUCUUAAUUUCCGAUUUGAGUUCCUGGAUGGUCACAGGGCUGCCGUGAUCUUUGGCG